rnacentral:lncRNA from 1 species
UGAGAAAUCAAAAUUCUUAAUUUUUCUCCCAAAUCUGUCGAUGGACUCCGGUCAAAGCGUUCGAAGUCUGUUGACUGAAUCUGGGAUGUUUGACGCUCCAACACCCGUCCAAGUCUCGUAUCGGGACGGGGAUGACACCUAAACUGACGAGUCCAUGCAACUUAGUCAUGAAGUGCUCCUUCAUAUUUUGCUCCUGACAUUCGAGAAUCUUUGCACCAUGUAAGCUUUCAUUUUUCCUACGGAAAAGGACCAGAUAUGGCAGUAAACUAUACGAAAUUGUACAUAUUUGCUUGUGUUUUAAGGUGGACUCGAGACAAGAGGUGAGCAACCCCCACUUCCAACCGAGAGGUUGUGAGUUCGAUUAUGCCCAAGAGUAAGGUGGGAAGUUCUUGGAGG